rnacentral:lncRNA from 1 species
AAAGAAGGUGAUAUCGUAUCGAUGCUCUGAACUGUAUAUAGUCAUAUCAGAACAUAUUUAUGAUUUAUACUGUAAACUGAGGCAUCUUGAUAUCUUGUGUAGAUAUGUGGAAUUUGAACUUUACAUGGAUAAGUUUCCUAUCCUUUGCUCUUUGGAAAUUUGUUAGAAAAAAAAAAGACCCAAAGGUUUAGUUAGAUCUGGCUGAUAACUAACAAAAUAUUGAGGUUUAACUCCA